rnacentral:rRNA from 1 species
GACGAACCGUGCGAACGUUGUUCGGAAUCACUGGGCUUAAAGAGCGCGUAGGCGGCUUGCCAAGUCAGGGGUGAAAUCUUUCGGCUCAACCGGAAAAGUGCCUUUGAUACUGGCGAGCUCGAGGGAGGUAGGGGUAUGUGGAACUUCCGGUGGAGCGGUGAAAUGCGUUGAUAUCGGAAGGAACGCCGGUGGCGAAAGCGACGUACUGGACCUCUUCUGACGCUGAGGCGCGAAAGCUAGGGGAGCAAACGGG